AGGCACCUGUUUGAGGAUUUCAGGCUACAUCCAAUAGAAAAGCCAGCCUGCCAGGGCUGUACACAGCAGUGUUCCGAGGAGCGCCUGCAGCCCGGGUUUGGCAGAGGUUGCCCUAAGGAACCUUGGAGGCAGUA